GAGGACAAGACUAAGGGAUUUGGGACUGUUUAGCCUGGGGAAGAGAAGACCGAGGCGAGACUUGGUGGCCAUCUGUCUGGGAUAAUGGUGCCAUU